UAACGAAUCUUCCACAAUGCACGAAAGUGUGAUGGAGCGACGCCGAGUGUGGGACGAAGUCCUUCGGGAUGUAAACCACUGUCAGGGGAAAGAAAGAUCUGAUCUACCCCAGAGGAAGUGGCGACUAACUCUGUGCCAGCAGUCGCGGUAAUACAGAGGCCACAAGCGUUAGACGGAAUCACUGGGCUUAAAGCGUGUGUAGGCGGGAUGGUAAGUACCUUGUGAAAUCCCACGGCUUAACCGUGGAAUUGCUUGGUAUACUGCCGUUCUUGAGUCAUCUAGGGGCAGCCGGAACAGAUGGUGGAGCGGUGAAAUGCAUAGAUAUCAUCUGGAACGCCAAUGGUGCAGACAGGCUGCUGGGGAUGUACUGACGCUGAGGCACGAAAGCCAGGGGAGCAAACGG
rnacentral:rRNA from 1 species